GACGGCCGGAUGGCUGCCUUCGGCGUUCGCGCCGGGGGAGGAAAGUCCGGGCUCCACGGAAACACGGUGCCGGGUAACACCCGGCGGGGGCGACCCCAGGGAAAGUGCCACAGAAAGCAAACCGCCGACGCCCCCGGCAUCUAAGCCGGGCGCGGGCAAGGGUGAAAGGGUGCGGUAAGAGCGCACCGCGCUGCCGGCGACGGCAGCGGCAUGGUAAACCCCACCGGGAGCAAGACCGAAUAGGGACGGCCGGCCGGCAUCGCCUUCGGGCGGUGGCCGGCGGGCGGGUUUUCGCGCCGCCGUCCGGGUAGGUCGCGCGAGGCGUCCGGUAACGGGCGCCCCAGAUGAAUGGCCAUCUAUCGCCGCCGCUUCGCCGGCGGCGGGGACAGAACCCGGCUUACAGGCUGUCUGG
rnacentral:RNase_P_RNA from 1 species